rnacentral:rRNA from 1 species
GGAUGGGCUCAUGUCUGAUUAGUUAGUUGGUGAGGUAACGGCUCACCAAGACCGCGAUCAGUAGCCGGUCUGAGAGGAUGAACGGCCCCAUUGGGACUGAGAUACGGCCCAGACUCCUACGGGAGGCAGCAGUGGGGAAUAUUGCACAAUGGGCGCAAGCCUGAUGCAGCAACGCCGCGUGAGCGAUGAAGGCCUUCGGGUCGUAAAGCUCUGUCCUCAAGGAAGAUAAUGACGGUACUUGAGGAGGAAGCCCCGGCUAACUACGUGCCAGCAGCCGCGGUAAUACAGAGGUCUCAAGCGUUGUUCGGAAUCACUGGGCGUAAAGCGUGCGUAGGCUGUUUCGUAAGUCGUGUGUGAAAGGCGCGGGCUCAACCCGCGGACGGCACAUGAUACUGCGAGACUAGAGUAAUGGAGGGGGAACCGGAAUUCUCGGUGUAGCAGUGAAAUGCGUAGAUAUCGAGAGGAACACUCGUGGCGAAGGCGGGUUCCUGGACAUUAACUGACGCUGAGGCACGAAGGCCAGGGGAGCGAAAGGGAUUAGAUACCCCUGUAGUCCUGGCAGUAAACGGUGCACGCUUGGUGUGCGGGGAAUCGACCCCCUGCGUGCCGGAGCUAACGCGUUAAGCGUGCCGCCUGGGGAGUACGGUCGCAAGAUUAAAACUCAAAGAAAUUGACGGGGACCCGCACAAGCGGUGGAGUAUGUGGCUUAAUUCGAUGCAACGCGAAGAACCUUACCUGGGCUUGACAUGUAAUGAACAACAUGUGAAAGCAUGCGACUCUUCGGAGGCGUUACACAGGUGCUGCAUGGCCGUCGUCAGCUCGUGUCGUGAGAUGUUUGGUUAAGUCCAGCAACGAGCGCAACCCCUGUUGCCAGUUACCAGCACGUGAAGGUGGGGACUCUGGCGAGACUGCCCAGAUCAACUGGGAGGAAGGUGGGGACGACGUCAGGUCAGUAUGGCCCUUAUGCCCAGGGCUGCACACGUACUACAAUGCCCAGUACAGAGGGGGCCGAAGCCGCGAGGCGGAGGAAAUCCUAAAAACUGGGCCCAGUUCGGACUGUAGGCUGCAACCCGCCUACACGAAGCCGGAAUCGCUAGUAAUGGCGCAUCAGCUACGGCGCCGUGAAUACGUUCCCGGGUCUUGCACACACCGCCCGUCA